AUUGAACGCUGGCGGCAGGCCUAACACAUGCAAGUCGAGCGGUAGCACAGAGAGCUUGCUCUCGGGUGACGAGCGGCGGACGGGUGAGUAAUGUCUGGGAAACUGCCUGAUGGAGGGGGAUAACUACUGGAAACGGUAGCUAAUACCGCAUAACGUCGCAAGACCAAAGUGGGGGACCUUCGGGCCUCAUGCCAUCAGAUGUGCCCAGAUGGGAUUAGCUAGUAGGUGGGGUAAUGGCUCACCUAGGCGACGAUCCCUAGCUGGUCUGAGAGGAUGACCAGCCACACUGGAACUGAGACACGGUCCAGACUCCUACGGGAGGCAGCAGUGGGGAAUAUUGCACAAUGGGCGCAAGCCUGAUGCAGCCAUGCCGCGUGUGUGAAGAAGGCCUUCGGGUUGUAAAGCACUUUCAGCGGGGAGGAAGGCGUUAAGGUUAAUAACCUUGGCGAUUGACGUUACCCGCAGAAGAAGCACCGGCUAACUCCGUGCCAGCAGCCGCGGUAAUACGGAGGGUGCGAGCGUUAAUCGGAAUUACUGGGCGUAAAGCGCACGCAGGCGGUCUGUCAAGUCGGAUGUGAAAUCCCCGGGCUCAACCUGGGAACUGCAUUCGAAACUGGCAGGCUAGAGUCUUGUAGGGGGGGGUAGAAUUCCAGGUGUAGCGGUGAAAUGCGUAGAGAUCUGGAGGAAUACCGGUGGCGAAGGCGGCCCCCUGGACAAAGACUGACGCUCAGGUGCGAAAGCGUGGGGAGCAAACAGGAUUAGAUACCCUGGUAGUCCACGCCGUAAACGAUGUCGAUUUGGAGGUUGUGCCCUUGAGGCGUGGCUUCCGGAGCUAACGCGUUAAAUCGACCGCCUGGGGAGUACGGCCGCAAGGUUAAAACUCAAAUGAAUUGACGGGGGCCCGCACAAGCGGUGGAGCAUGUGGUUUAAUUCGAUGCAACGCGAAGAACCUUACCUGGUCUUGACAUCCACAGAACUUUCCAGAGAUGGAUUGGUGCCUUCGGGAACUGUGAGACAGGUGCUGCAUGGCUGUCGUCAGCUCGUGUUGUGAAAUGUUGGGUUAAGUCCCGCAACGAGCGCAACCCUUAUCCUUUGUUGCCAGCGGUUAGGCCGGGAACUCAAAGGAGACUGCCAGCGAUAAACUGGAGGAAGGUGGGGAUGACGUCAAGUCAUCAUGGCCCUUACGACCAGGGCUACACACGUGCUACAAUGGCAUAUACAAAGAGAAGCGACCUCGCGAGAGCAAGCGGACCUCAUAAAGUAUGUCGUAGUCCGGAUUGGAGUCUGCAACUCGACUCCAUGAAGUCGGAAUCGCUAGUAAUCGUAGAUCAGAAUGCUACGGUAAAUACGUUCCCGGGCCUUGUACACACCGCCCGUCACACCAUGGGAGUGGGUUGCAAAAGAAGUAGGUAGCUUAACCUUCGGGAGGGCGCUUACCACUUUGUGAUUCAUGACUGGGGUGA
rnacentral:rRNA from 1 species